rnacentral:rRNA from 1 species
UACGUAGGGUGCAGGCGUUAAUCGGAAUUACUGGGCGUAAAGCGUGCGUAGGCGGUCCGCGAAGUCUGAUGUGAAAGCCCCGGGCUCAACCUGGGAACUGCAUUGGAAACUAACGGGCUCGAGUGUGGCAGGAGGGGGGUGGAAUUCCACGUGUAGCAGUGAAAUGCGUAGAGAUCAUGAGGAAGACCAGUGGCGAAGGCGGGUCUCUGGACAGUUCCUGACACUGAGGCACGAAGGCCAGGGGAGCAAACGGG